UGUGGGAGCGAGCUUGCUCGCGAUGACUGUGGCAAAUUCGAUAUCCCUGUGACUGGACCACCGCUAUCGCGAGCAAGCUCGCUCCCACA
rnacentral:misc_RNA from 1 species